UACAGAGGUCUCAAGCGUUGUUCGGAUUCAUUGGGCGUAAAGGGCGCGUAGGCUGCGGGGUAAGUCGGGUGUGAAAUCUCAGGGCUCAACCCUGAAACUGCACUCGAUACUGCUCUGCUUGAGGACUGGAGAGGAGACUGGAAUUCACGGUGUAGCAGUGAAAUGCGUAGAUAUCGUAAGGAAGACCAGUGGCGAAGGCGGGUCUCUGGACAGUUCCUGACGCUGAGGCACGAAGGUCAGGGGAGCAAACGGG
rnacentral:rRNA from 1 species